UAGACAAAAUGAGGAAGGGCUCUUCUUAGC
rnacentral:piRNA from 1 species